rnacentral:rRNA from 1 species
CUCGUAGGCGGCUUGUCGCGUCUGCUGUGAAAGUCCAUCGCUUAACGGUGGAUCUGCGCCGGGUACGGGCGGGCUGGAGUGCGGUAGGGGAGACUGGAAUUCCCGGUGUAACGGUGGAAUGUGUAGAUAUCGGGAAGAACACCAAUGGCGAAGGCAGGUCUCUGGGCCGUUACUGACGCUGAGGAGCGAAAGCGUGGGGAGCGAACA